UACACAUGCAAGUCGAGCGGUAGAGAGAAGCUUGCUUCUCUUGAGAGCGGCGGACGGGUGAGUAAUGCCUAGGAAUCUGCCUGGUAGUGGGGGAUAACGUUCGGAAACGGACGCUAAUACCGCAUACGUCCUACGGGAGAAAGCAGGGGACCUUCGGGCCUUGCGCUAUCAGAUGAGCCUAGGUCGGAUUAGCUAGUUGGUGAGGUAAUGGCUCACCAAGGCGACGAUCCGUAACUGGUCUGAGAGGAUGAUCAGUCACACUGGAACUGAGACACGGUCCAGACUCCUACGGGAGGCAGCAGUGGGGAAUAUUGGACAAUGGGCGAAAGCCUGAUCCAGCCAUGCCGCGUGUGUGAAGAAGGUCUUCGGAUUGUAAAGCACUUUAAGUUGGGAGGAAGGGUUGUAGAUUAAUACUCUGCAAUUUUGACGUUACCGACAGAAUAAGCACCGGCUAACUCUGUGCCAGCAGCCGCGGUAAUACAGAGGGUGCAAGCGUUAAUCGGAAUUACUGGGCGUAAAGCGCGCGUAGGUGGUUUGUUAAGUUGGAUGUGAAAUCCCCGGGCUCAACCUGGGAACUGCAUUCAAAACUGACUGACUAGAGUAUGGUAGAGGGUGGUGGAAUUUCCUGUGUAGCGGUGAAAUGCGUAGAUAUAGGAAGGAACACCAGUGGCGAAGGCGACCACCUGGACUAAUACUGACACUGAGGUGCGAAAGCGUGGGGAGCAAACAGGAUUAGAUACCCUGGUAGUCCACGCCGUAAACGAUGUCAACUAGCCGUUGGAAGCCUUGAGCUUUUAGUGGCGCAGCUAACGCAUUAAGUUGACCGCCUGGGGAGUACGGCCGCAAGGUUAAACUCAGGGAAUGC
rnacentral:rRNA from 1 species